UUGGAGGGCAAGUCUGGUGCCAGCAGCCGCGGUAAUUCCAGCUCCAAUAGCGUAUAUUAAAGUUGUUGCAGUUAAAAAGCUCGUAGUUGAAUUUCGGGAUCAAGGGAUUGGUCAUGCCUCGGUAUGCACUGGUCUUAUUGGUUCUCACCUUCUAAAGAACCAUGAUGUCAUUCAUUUGAUGUUAUGGGGAAUUAGGACUGUUACCUUGAAAAAAUUAGAGUGUUUAAAGCAAGCUUACGCUUGAAUACAUUAGCAUGGAAUAAUGAAAUAGGACAUCAGAUUCUAUUUUGUUGGUUUCUAGGAUCGAUGUAAUGAUUAAUAGGGAUAGUUGGGGGCAUUAGUAUUCAAUUGUCAGAGGUGAAAUUCUUGGAUUUAUUGAAGACUAACUACUGCGAAAGCAUUUGCCAAGGAUGUUUUCAUUAAUCAAGAACGAAAGUUAGGGGAUCGAAGACGAUCAGAUACCGUCGUAGUCUUAACCAUAAACUAUGCCGACUAGGGAUCGGAUGAUGUUAAUUUUUUAAUGACUCAUUCGGCACCUUACGGGAAACCAAAGUGUUUGGGUUC
rnacentral:rRNA from 1 species